GAUUUCUGGCCUGAAACAUUUUGCCGGCCACGGUUUCGUGUGUUAGUGCUUGAUGUUCUGGCCAUCCUUCCGAUCGCUAUUGACCUUUCUUCAUUGAUUGGUGAGUGGUAUUGGAUCUUUUACUUUGAAAAAAUUAGAGUGUUUAAAGCAGGCUUGCGCUAUGAAUACAUUAGCAUGGAAUAAUAAUUUAGGACUUUGGUUCUAUUUUGUUGGUUUCUAGGACUAAAGUAAUGAUUGAUAGGGAUAGUUGGGGGUGCUAGUAUUCAGCGGCCAGAGGUGAAAUUCUUGGAUUCGCUGAAGACUAACUUAUGCGAAAGCAUU
rnacentral:rRNA from 1 species